CGUGCUGUGACGAGACCUCGGAAGGCUUUACGGGAAGGCUGCCGGCCGACCCGGCGGCCAGUGUUCCCUCGUUGGUACCUGGGACCUUCGGUGUCGCUACGGGCAUAACGCCGCUCACAUCAUGGCUUGGGUCCCUACUGCGCCACAGCGUCUCGUGAGACGUGGGUCCUCAGAGCCUCUUUAGUGCUGGAGCUCGGGCGGGGGCGGAAGAACAGAACCUCUGAAAUGGAUGGACUCUUCCCAAGCAGAUUUGCUCAUUUGCAGCAGCUGGACAAUGUUCCUCAUUAAUACCUGUCUGUCAGCAUAAUCGUCACAUCAUCUCACUCGGGUGGCAGGGACUCAGCUCCGAAUUCUAUAUAGAAAAAGCAUCUGGAUCCCAGUCUUUCAAUGGCUUCGAGACAACCAGAAGUGCCUGGUAAACUUAAUUCUUUUUGAUAAAG